UUGCAAGGUCAAGUGAAGAAGGGCGCACGGUGAAUGCCUUGGCACUGGAAGCCGAUGAAGGACGCGACUAACCGCGAAAGUCUUCGGGGAGCCGUAAGUAGGCUUUGAUCCGGAGGUCUCCGAAUGGGGGAACCCAGCAUGUGCAGACAUGCUAUCCUUAAGUGAAUACAUAGCUUAAGGAGGGAACACGCAGUGAACUGAAACAUCUAAGUAGCUGCAGGAAGAGAAAGAAAUAUCGAUUUCCCAAGUAGCGGCGAGCGAACAGGAAAGAGCCCAAACCGGCAGAUUUAUCUGCCGGGGUUGUAGGACUGAGACAUGGCACUUCAGAGGAUAGCAGAAGCGUUUGGGAAAGCGCGCCAGAGAGGGUGAGAGCCCCGUAAGCGAAAUCCAAAGGAGGCCUAUCAGUAUCCUGAGUAGGGCGGGACACGUGAAAUCCCGUUUGAAUCCGCGAGGACCAUCUCGCAAGGCUAAAUACUAACCAGUGACCGAUAGUGAACCAGUACCGUGAGGGAAAGGUGAAAAGAACCCCGGGAGGGGAGUGAAAGAGAACCUGAAACCGUGUGCCUACAAGUAGUCAGAGCCCGUUAACGGGUAAUGGCGUGCCUUUUGUAGAAUGAACCGGCGAGUUGCGUUAGUCAGCAAGGUUAAGUCAGAAAAGACGGAGCCGUAGCGAAAGCGAGUCUGAAGAGGGCGAGCAGUUGGCUGACGCAGACCCGAAACCAAGUGACCUACCCAUGACCAGGUUGAAGGCGCGGUAAAACGCGCUGGAGGACCGAACCCACGUAAGUUGAAAAUUGCGGGGAUGAGUUGUGGGUAGCGGUGAAAUUCCAAACGAACUUGGAGAUAGCUGGUUCUCUCCGAAAUAGCUUUAGGGCUAGCCUCGCAAAGAGGAUGCUGGAGGUAGAGCUCUGUUUGGACUAGGGGCCCGUCAAGGGUUACUGAAUUCAGAUAAACUGCGAAUUCCAGACAUUUAUGUGCGGGAGUCAGACUGCGAGUGAUAAGAUCCGUAGUCGAAAGGGAAACAGCCCAGAUCACCAGUUAAGGUCCCAAAAUUCAUGCUAAGUGGAAAAGGAUGUGGAGUUGCGCAGACAACUAGGACGUUGGCUCAGAAGCAGCCAUCAUUCAAAGAGUGCGUAAUAGCUCACUAGUCGAGUGACGCCGCGCCGAAAAUUUACCGGGGCUAAGCAUGAUACCGAAACUGUGGAUGUGCGUUUAUGCACGUGGUAGGAGAGCGUUCUAGCGGCGGUGAAGCAUGACCGAGAGGACAUGUGGAGCUUCUAGAAGUGAGAAUGCCGGUAUGAGUAACGAAAGACAGGUGAGAAUCCUGUCCGCCGCAAGACUAAGGUUUCCUGGGGCAGGCUCGUCCGCCCAGGGUAAGUCGGGACCUAAGGCGAGGCCGAGAGGCGUAGUCGAUGGACAACAGGUUGAAAUUCCUGUACUGCACCGAAUCGUUAUGAGCGAUGGAGGGACGCAGGAGGCUAGCAGCGCGUGGUGCUGGAUACCACGUUCAAGCGUCAAGUCUGAGAGCGAGUCAAAUGCUUGCUCUCAUAAGGACAAGGCGUGAUGAGGAGCGAAAUUAAAGUAGCGAAGGCUGCGACGUCACACUGCCGAGAAAAGCUUCUAGCCAGAGACGGUGCACCCGUACCGCAAACCGACACAGGUAGUCGAGGAGAGUAUCCUCAGGUGAGCGAGAGAACUCUCGUUAAGGAACUCGGCAAAAUGGCCCCGUAACUUCGGGAGAAGGGGCGCUGGUCGCAAGAUCAGCCGCAGUGAAAAGGCCCAAGCAACUGUUUAUCAAAAACACAGGCAUCUGCAAAAUCGUAAGAUGAAGUAUAGGUGCUGACACCUGCCCGGUGCUGGAAGGUUAAGAGGAGAGCUUAGCGCAAGCGAAGGUUUGAAUUGAAGCCCCAGUAAACGGCGGCCGUAACUAUAACGGUCCUAAGGUAGCGAAAUUCCUUGUCGGGUAAGUUCCGACCUGCACGAAAGGUGUAAUGAUUUGGGCACUGUCUCAACGAGAGACUCGGUGAAAUUAUAAUACCCGUGAAGAUGCGGGUUACCCGCGACAGGACGGAAAGACCCCAU
rnacentral:rRNA from 1 species